rnacentral:rRNA from 1 species
GGGGAAAGGUUGUCGGAUUUAUUGGGCGUAAGCGCGCGUAGGCGGCUUGGUAAGUCGGAUGUGAAAACCCGAGGCUCAACCUCGGGCGUGCAUCCGAAACUGCCCGGCUAGAGGUAGGUAGGGGAGAUCGGAAUUCCUGGUGUAGCGGUGAAAUGCGCAGAUAUCAGGAGGAACACCGGUGGCGAAGGCGGAUCUCUGGGCCUUACCUGACGCUCAGGCGCGAAAGCUAGGGGAGCGAACAGGAUUAGAUACCCUGGUAGUCCUAGCUGUAAACGUUGGGUGCUAGGUGUGGGCGGAUAUCGACCCCGUCCGUGCCGAAGCUAACGCAUUAAGCACCCCGCCUGGGGAGUACGGCCGCAAGGCUAAAACUCAAAGGAAUUGACGGGGCCCCGCACAAGCGGCGGAGCAUGUUGCUUAAUUCGAUGCGACGCGAAGAACCUUACCUGGGCUUGACAUGCAGGGUGAAACCCGUGAAAGCGGGCGCUCUUCGGAGCCUGCACAGGUGGUGCAUGGCUGUCGUCAGCUCGUGCCGUGAGGUGUUGCCUUAAGUGGCGCAACGAGCGCAACCCCUGUCCUUAGUUGCCAGCGGAUCAUGCCGGGAACUCUAGGGAGACUGCCGGUGCCAAACCGGAGGAAGGUGGGGAUGACGUCAAGUCAUCAUGCCCCUUAUGUCCAGGGCUGCAAACAUGCUACAAUGCCCGGUACAAAGGGCUGCGAUCCCGCAAGGGGGAGCGAAUCCCAGAAAGCCGGGCUCAGUUCGGAUCGGAGUCUGCAACUCGACUCCGUGAAGCUGGAGUUGCUAGUAAUCCCGGAUCAGCAUCGCCGGGGUGAGUACGUUCCCGGGCCUUGUACACACCGCCCGUCACACCACGAAAGUCGGCAACACCCGAAGCCGGUGGCCCAACCCUCUUGGGAGGGAGCCGUCGAAGUGGGGUCGGUGAUUGGGGUGAAGUCGUAACAAGGUAACCAAGACUGGG